rnacentral:rRNA from 1 species
UAGGGAAUCUUCGGCAAUGGGGGGAACCCUGACCGAGCAACGCCGCGUGAGUGAAGAAGGUUUUCGGAUCGUAAAGCUCUGUUGUUAAGGAAGAACGAGUGUGAGAAUGGAAAGUUCAUGCUGUGACGGUACUUAACCAGAAAGGGACGGCUAACUACGUGCCAGCAGCCGCGGUAAUACGUAGGUCCCGAGCGUUGUCCGGAUUUAUUGGGCGUAAAGCGAGCGCAGGCGGUUAGAAAAGUCUGAAGUGAAAGGCAGUGGCUCAACCAUUGUAGGCUUUGGAAACUGUUUAACUGGAGUGCAGAAGGGGAGAGUGGACUUCCAUGUGUAGCGGUGACAUGCGUAGAUAUAUGGAGGAACACCGGUGGCGAAAGCGGCUCUCUGGUCUGUAACUGACGCUGAGGCUCGAAAGCGUGGGGAGCGAACAGG